GUCCGGGUCACCCGCUGAGGGUGUGGAACUUGGAUUCCCGACAACUGGGGUCUAGGGGCGGGAGUGGGGACUCCAGGAGCUUGCCCGUGGGAACUGGGAGCUGAGGAAUUGCCUAGGAAUCAGCACUGUGGAGAAUGAGGAAACGUGGAUAUCAGGAUUCCUGUUUGAGUGGUACCCGGACCUUGGGUCAUGGGACCACCACUAAUUGUGAGGAAAGGGAGUAAAUUUAAGUCUGGACUCUGAGCUAUAUGUGUUAGACUCAGACCACGUACUAUGUAAGGACAAUUACUUAUCUAGGACAAUUGCUUGACUUCCUUGUAUCUUAUUCGACCAACCUCCAUUUAUUGAGCAAUUUACCUCGUGCUAGGCAUUGUGCUAGGUGCUGGUAUGCAGUGGUGAGCUUACAGACAAGAUCGCUGCUUUCCUGGAGCCUCUGGGUUUGCCUACCCUCAUUUUCCCUAGUUGCAAAAAUAGACAUCAUAGCAUCUCUUGAUGUGGUGAGGGUUUUAUGAGGUGAUCCUGGAAAAGUGGUUAGCACAGAGCCUGUCUUCCAGGAAGGGCUAAACUGGUGGUUCUCAAUUGGGGCAGUUCCCUCCACCCCCACAUUUGGCAAAGUCUGGAGACAUUUUUGGUUGUCAGAACUGCGGGAGGGGGUGCUAGUGACAUCUAUGGGUAGAGGCCAGGGAUGCUGCUCAACUUCCUACCAUGCGUGGGGCAGCGCCCUCCCACCCCCAAACAAAGAAUAAUCCAGCUCAAAAUGUUAUUAGUGCCAGGUUGAGAAACUCUGGAUUAAGUAAAUAGGGCAUAUAUUGAUUUUUGGCUCUGAGCUUGCCAUGUCUGUGGUGUUAAGAUCAAGUCCCUGUAGUGUGGAGGAAAAAGUGUUGAGAAUAACAAGACUGGGGGCUCUAGUUCUGGAUCCAGCAUGUGAUUUUGGGCAAAUGAUCUAACCUCUGCAAGCCUCAGUUUCUUCAUUUGUUAAAAAUGGGCGUGGGUUGGGUGCAGUGGCUCACACCUGUAAUUCCAACAUUUUGGGAGGUCGAGGUGGGUGGAUCGCUUAAGCCCAGGAGUUGGAGACCAGCCUGGACAAUAUGGCAAAAAUGCAUCUCUACAAAAAAAAAUUAAAAAAUUAGCUGGGCAUGGUGCCACACAUGCCUGGAGCUCCAGCUACCCAGGAGGCUGAGACAGGAGGAUCGCUUGAGCCCAGGAGAUUCAGGCUGCAGUGAGCCAUGAUUGCACCACUGCGCUCUAGCCUGGAUGACAGAACAAGAGAGUAUCUUAAAAAAAAAAUCGGUGUGAAAUAAUCCCAGCAGGCCAGGCUCUGUGGCUCAUCCCUGUAAUCCCAGCACUUUGGGAGGCCGAGGCUGGUCUCAAACUCCUGACUUCAGGUGAUCUACCCGAUUCUACCUCCCAAAGUGCUGGGAUUACAGGCCUGAGCCACCGCGCCUGGUCAAAAAGGGGGUGGUUCUAACUUUCAUCUUAGGGUAGCUGUGAAAAUGAAAGGAGAUGAUACAUCCACAGCACUUGGCACAGGGCUUGGCAUACAGUACAUGCUCAAUAAAGGGAGCUGUUGCCACCUCUUGUGGUCCCUGCUAGGGAGGGUGAGGCCUUGGCGUGGAAAGUGAGAACAGAGCUGGUCCCUACUGAGGUGGACACUCUUCUUGCUCCCUGGGAGGGCACCGCGGGCCCAGGGCAGGCGCUGAGUCGCGUGUGCUCCUCUCUGAUUGCUGCGCAGGUCGGCCGGCUGGCGGAGCUGGGCGCGGCGUCAGGACGGGCCACCAGGCCGGGCUAGGAAGGUGUAGUGGGCCUCAGCGCCGCCAAGGGCGGUCCCGGCUCCUGUAACCGUUGCAGUCUUCUGUCCCUUCACCCAGGUGGGCAAACGCAGAGGCGGGAACAAACUAGCCCUCAAGACGGGAAUAGUAGCCAAGAAGCAGAAGACGGAGGAUGAGGUGAGCCAGCUUGGUGCAGGGGGUCCACCCACAUUGCCUUUCCCUUCCAGCUUUUGCGCCCAGCCUUCUCCCUCCCUGUCUGGUAUCCAGGCCUUUUAUGAGUGUGCCUGGCAGGGUAGGAGGGCUGUCAAUGGGUCCCCAGAUAACUUGACUUUAUAAUCUUCAGCUCAAACCCAGAGUCUUCUGGGUGACACUGGGAAUGGGUCACCUGUCUCAGGGCAGUCCUGACCCUGGUUCCUGGCACCCCCGUCCUAACCCGUAUCCCCUUUCCACAGGUAUUAACAAGUAAAGGUGACGCGUGGGCCAAGUACAUGGCAGAAGUGAAAAAGUACAAAGCUCACCAGUGCGGUGACGAUGAUAAAACUCGGCCCCUGGUGAAAUGACGCCCCUCCCCCACCUGCCCAUGGCCUGGGACUCUCUGCGAUGUACAUAACUAUUUAAUGCAGCGGCAGCGGCGACAGCCUUCCCUGAGAGGACUUAAAAGCAGAAGGAAACCGAGAUGCUUCCCGCAGCCGUGGACGAUUCUCCAGGACUCUUUUUUUACCUUGAGCACUUGCCUCGUGAGACUUCAUAGAACAGUGGUUUACUGUCCCCCCCUUCUCACCUCCUCAUUCUCUCUGGCUCUUUCUGUCUUCCUCUUCUCACCCUCCUCCCUCCCCUUAGCCAUCACUUCUGGGAAGUAAAGAACUUGACUU
rnacentral:lncRNA from 1 species